CAGGGAGCCUCCUCUCCACAGACUCAAGUAGUGGAGGAAGGAGACCCCCAAGCCGAACAAGAAGGGUUGUGUUGCUGGGGAGAGAGCACACCCCAGUCAGGCACCAUUGCUGGCUUCCCCCGCCACAGCUGGUUCCCAGGAGCUGCCUUCAGUCUCGGUCCACGGACCAUCCUCAGCUGGCGAGCCGCCCACCUCUGUAACAGGCGCUCUGGACCCCUGCCCCUCGCUGCAGGCCAUGCUUGUCUCAGCAUUGCCCAGCACUGGCGGGGAGAUGACAUCACCUUGUACCAGGCGGCCAGCUGGCACCUUCUCUCCUGCACCGGCUGCUGCUCCAAAAGCUGUAUCCGCUUCUCUUGCUCCCUCCAGCCCCCUGCCACACAGAGCCCAGACUGAGCAGCAGCAGCAUCUGCGGGGCCUUGGCUACACUAGGGAUCCAGCCCACCCUGCGCAGCCUUCACCCCUGGCCCAGUCUCUGGCUCUCUCUCAGCUUCUUGGUCCGGACUCCAGGCUCCAUCCAGCCCGUCAGCAGAUGCAGGGAGUGGAGGAGAUAUGGCAAGGUCAAGAGCUGCAGCCUCCUUUGAUCCUGAUGGGGGCAAACAAACGGGCUGUUCCAGGGGGCCGGUUUCUUGGCGGCUGCGGUGCAGGUGCUGAGAGGGGCCUGGUGCCCAAUGCAGAACAGAGGCUCCCGUCCCAGCUGGUUGGAGGCAAUGAGACCUNCCGUCCCAGCUAGUUGGAGGCAAUGAGACCCGAAAGCUGGUAACAGCCUUUCUGAACUUCCCCCCUCACCUCCCCUUAGCGUUUUCAGGGGACUUGCCCUGCGCCUGGU
rnacentral:lncRNA from 1 species